CCAAUGUGAAACCAGAGUCAUCUUUAAUGAUUCCAGAAUUUAUAUCAACCCAUUUACACUUGAAAACAGGGACUCUAAACCUGACAUAAUCCACCUCCCAUAUUUCUUGUAUUACUCCAAAAUAACUAAUUGCUGCAGUGAUUGGAUUUUUGUCUUUAGAACUACAGAAGUGCACUGACUCAGCUUUUAGUGUAACCCCACUAUUUUGAACUCUACUUUUAUCAUCUUCUUC
rnacentral:lncRNA from 1 species